CCUACGGGAGGCAGCAGUGAGGAAUUUUCCGCAAUGGGCGAAAGCCUGACGGAGCAAUACCGCGUGAGGGAUGAAGGAUUUUGGUCUGUAAACCUCUUUUCUCAAGAAAGAAGUUCUGACGGUACUUGAGGAAUAAGCAUCGGCUAACUCCGUGCCAGCAGCCGCGGUAAUACGGGGGAUGCAAGCGUUAUCCGGAAUGAUUGGGCGUAAAGCGCCUGUAGGUUGUUUAUUAAGUCCGUUGUUAAAGCCUAGGGCUUAACCCUAGAAAAGCAAUGGAAACUAGUAGACUAGAGUAUGGCAGGGGUAGAGGGAAUUUCUAGUGUAGCGGUGAAAUGCGUAGAUAUUAGAAAGAACACCGGUGGCGAAAGCGCUCUACUGGACCAUUACUGACACUCAGAGGCGAAAGCUAGGGUAGCAAAGGGAUUAGAUACCCCUGUAGUCCUAGCCGUAAACGAUGGAUACUAGAUGUUGUGCAUUAUGUACAGUAUCGUAGCUAACGCGUUAAGUAUCCCGCCUGGGGAGUACGCUCGCAAGGGUGAACUUAAGAUAGUAGACGUGUAGACGUGUCGACGACGACCACGACGGAGGUAGAG
rnacentral:rRNA from 1 species